rnacentral:lncRNA from 1 species
GAUAUUCAACCAGUGAUGAGCUACCCAGAAGUCCCCUUUGGUGAGACUUUAGAACUGAGAUCCCUCUUUCUCCAUCACAUUGUAAUAUACAAAUAAAGCCAAAACCCAGGAAGGGCUAUAAUUUUAGCAAAAGGGACCUAGACAGCUCAGUAAAACAAGAAAAGUAAAGAGACUUAGGCUUAGAAAGUAACAAAACAAUUAUUACUCCCUGAUUAUAUGAUGAACUACAUAGGGCAUCCAAAACAAUCUAUCGUUAAAAUGCGAGUUCAGUAAAGUUGCUGAACAAUAUACAAGUACAAUAUACAAACAGCAAUUUGUUUCCCAUACUAAUUGGUUACUGGUGGCUACAAAAUGUAUUUGUAUAAAAAUUUUUCAUUCACAAAAACAAAAAUCAUAAAGAACCUAAGAAUAAAUCUAACAAAAGAUUUGUGAGAACAAUAUAACUGCCUUGCAGAACAUUAAAGAAUACUUAACCAGAAAUAUAUAUCAUAGGACUCCAAUAAGACAAUUAUCCCCACCGUAGCUUAUAAACUCAAUGAAAUUUCAAUUCCAAUCCCAACAUGGUUUACUGGAUUUUCUUUGAGAUGGGGAUAGAAUUUGACAAGCUGGCUUAAAAUUCAUUAAGAGUGAAGAUUUACAUUAUCAAACUUUAAGACACAUCAAAACUGUUAUAAUUAAUACAAUACGAUAACGACAUGAAAGCAGGCAAAUCAAGUAAGACUAUGGUAUAGAAUAGACUCUAGAAAUGAACUCAUGUAGUAAAUAUAAAACUUUUUAACAAAAUUUAAAAUAACCCACAGAAGAAACAACAAGUGCUGAUGAGUUUCUGGAGGAAAAGGAAUUUUCAUGCACUGUUGGUGGGAAUGCAAACUGGUGCGGCCACUAUGGAAGACAGUAUGGAGGUUCCUAAAAAAGUUAAAAAUAGAAUUGCCCUAUGACCCCGUAAUCACGCUACUGGGUAUUUACCCCCCAAAAAUACAAAAACACUAAUCCAAAAAGAUAUAUAUAUAUCUCUCCCUAUGUUUACAGCAGCAUUAUUUACAACAACCAAAUUAUGGAAGCCGCCAAGGGUCCAUAAAAAAGACUGAAAUCUUGCCAUUUCCAAUGACAUGGAUGGAGCUAGAGGGUACAAUGCUAAGUGAAAUAAAUCAGAGAAAGACAAAUAUCUUAUGAUUUCACUCAUAAUAGGAAUUUAAAAAACAGAACAAGCAAACAAAGGGGGAGAAAAAAAGACAUGCCAAGAAACGGGAAGUAUGUGAGGGGAUGAGUGAAAUGGGAGAUGAAAAUUAAAGAGUUCACUUGUCAUGAUGAGCAGUGGGUAAUGUACAGAAUUGCUGAACUGCUAUUUUAUACACUUGAAACUAAUAAACACUGUAUGGUAACUAUACUGAAAUUAAAAUUUAAAAAAUAAAUUUUAAAAACCCACAAAUAGAAAAAAUACCUAUAAUGCUAAUACCAAAAACAUUAAUAUCCAGAUUAUAAAAAGAAUUGCCAUAAAUCAAUAUAAAAGCCAAUACCUGGCAGGAAAAAAAUUAGCAAAGGACACAGAGAAAAGAUUCACAAAAUAGGAGACGAGAAUGAACAAGACCCACACAAAGAUGUUCAACUUCACCAGUAAUCAAAGUAAUGAAAAGAGUUUAUCUCUCAGAGAGGUAAAAAUCAGUGGCUGGAUAAAACAAAAUCUUCAUUAAUGAAUGGGGAAACAUGCUGGUGGGCACAACAUGCCCACCAGAGGUAGAGUACUACUUCUACUUUGGACUGAACUUGGCAUAUUCAGUAAAAUGAAGUAGCACCUACACCUUGUGAUCCAGCAAUUCUACUCUUGUGUGUCUGUCCUAGAUAAAGUUACACGUUGACUAGGCACUUACUUACAAAGCUAUUCAUUACAGUAUUAUUUGCCAAAGGUAGGCCUUACCUUAGUAUAAAACUGAGUUUUAUUCAACACAGAAUACCAAACAGCAGUUAAAAAGAAUGAACUAAACCUACAUGUGUCAAUAAGAAUACAUCUAGAAAACAAUGUAUGACAAUUUUUCAAGUCAUCUUUUAUGUAAAUGUUUUAUAUGUACAAAAGAACAGAGACAUGAUGCACAAGAACUUCAGGAUAAUGAGUACCUCUGAAGGAGGGAGGAAAGGUUGCGGGCGGCGGGGGGGGGGGGGGGUAGAAUUUUAAAAGUAGAGAAAAAGCAAAGGAGGCAAAAAGUUAACAUCUAUUUGACCUUCAGUCUGGGUACAAAGGUGUUUAUUGCAUUGCUUUCAGUAAGUUUUUGGGUUUUUUUUCAAACUAUUUCAUAAUUUACACAAAUUUUUAAAAGAAAUUGAAAAUAGUAAGCUUGCUGAUUAUGAACAGCAAUUCUAGAGUACAACUGAAAUAACUAGAAAGGGGAAAAAAAGACUUUCGUUAAGGUAAAAAAUUAGAAAAUGUUAUGAAGAUGAUUCAGAAGAUAGUGCACCUGCUGACGAAAAACGGGAUGAGAAACAAGUCUCAGACUUCUUGAGGAAAACAGAAAUUGGGCCUCCUGGCCAGACGAUUUUGUCUCAACAGGACCAAAAUAAAGUAAAUCCAAUUAGUUUAUUAUCUCAGCUCACUUGGCCUGGCAUCAUUGUGAUUCUCAUCAAUUCUGAUCACUAUGCAUUAUGAAAAUGUACUAAACUGAGUCUAAUAGGUGCAAGGCAUUCUGCUACAUAAUACAAGCAACUGAUGGGACGCCUGGGUGGCUCAGGAAUCAAGCAUCUGCCUUUAGCUCAGGGCAUGAUCCCAGGAUCCCGGAUUAAGUCCCACAUUGGGCUCCCUGUGGGGAGCCUGCUUCUCCCUCUACCUAUGUUUCUCCCUCUCUCUACGUCGCUCAUGAAUAAAUAAAAUUUUUUUUUUAAAUAAUACAAGGAACUGAAAGAGAUAUAUUACCAGUUCUCGGGAAACUUAUCAUUUAGUGUGCGAGCUAAGAUCUAUCUGUACAUAAAGAAAAGAAAAAAAAAGCCCUAGCACUUAACACUUGAACAAGUGCUACUAGAACUCAAAGGAAGAAAAGAAUCCAUCAGGUUGCUGGGAUGUACACGAAAGGCUUCACCUACAGCAGUGAAACUAAAGCUGAGUACUGAAGAACAGGAAGCAAUUCAAAUGGUAUAAAAAUUAGCAUUCUAGGUAGAAAAAAAAAAGUGGCAAAGAAAUGUAGAUUCUGAGGACAAAAAUAUAAAGUGUAAAUGCUUGGAAACUUUUGGAUCUUAAUUAGAAAAGUAAAAUACUCUGGGCCUCCUGGGUGGCUCAGUUGGCUGAGCAUCCAAAUCAUGAUUUCAGCUCAGGUGAUCUCAGGGUCAUGGGAUUAGGCCCCAUAGGAGGCUCCAUGCUCAGAGGAAAGUCUGCUUCUCUCCCUCUUCCUCUAUCCCUCCCCUACUUGUGCACACAUGCACUCUCUCGCUCUCUAAAAUAAGUAUAUAAAUCUUAAGAAAAAUAAAACACUCUAACAAUAAGCAAUCUGUAAAUUAGAUUAAUCAAGGUUCUUGGUUGCAAACAACAGAACCUAUUUCAGGAAAUUUCAACAAAAAAGGCAUUUAUUAAAAUAUAUUAGGUGAUUCAAAGAACUCCCCCCAAAAAGCCCAAGAAUCAGGUUGGAGGUAUACAGCCAGGAAAAAUACCUAAGUCUCCCCACCAAACUAUUCCCACCUUUGAGCCCUCCUACCAUGAAAGUGGAGCCUCAAACAAAGGGCUCACUAGGAUGUCUCCCACUGCUGCCUCUAAAAGCUUAAUCUCCUACCUUCUAACAUCCACAUUAGCAAGCAAUUCCAAGUAAGAGCUGUUACCUUGCAAUUCUCUCUUCUGAAUUCAUGUCUUACACAGUUGCUUCCGAUGAAAAGAAGCUAGGUCACAUGCCUGUGUCCUAGCUGUAAGGGAUGCUAGAAAAUUUUAGUUUUGCCUUCUAUAGGGCUCCUAACAUAAAAAUUUCUCCAACACUAAGAAGUUAUUUGAAAUGAGACCAAAUACAGACCAAGCCUUGGCUAUCAAACAACAUACACAUUGAUUCCAAACUUCAAGCUCCAAACAAGGUUCUCAAGCCGGAUAGAUUAUAACUAAACAUUGCACGAAUAAAACUCUUUCUGUUCCUCAAAGGGAGAUAAAAACCAGACUCUUAUUAGUUGUUGCACACAGCUCCAAACAUCAGAAUCUCUGGCUGAUGCUCCUUCCCUUCUGGUUUCUUCUACAACCCAUGGACUAAACUAAAAAGGGGAAUAGAAAUGGAAAAUCAAGUGAAAAUAUUUUUUUAAAUAUAUAAACAAAGAAGGAAAACUUAGGUUUUACAGACCUAAGUCAAUUCUAGGAACCAUGUGAAGAACUACAACUCACUCUUAUAAUAGAUCAAGUCAGACCUUCACUUGUGAGUCCUAAAAUUUUUGUCAUAUAGAUCAAGUAAGACCUUAAUGGGCUACCCAUCUAUUUUAGACCUCGGGAUCCCAUUAUCAUUUAGCUACAGCCACAAAGAAGCAAUCAGGUCAGUGCAUCUCUGAUCAUCAUGCCUGUCAUGCUAACUUAUGCAAAUAAUGCCCACCUAUGAAAGUUAGAGCCACACAAGAAUCUUACCACCUGAAAUCAGAAAAACAUUUCAAUGGUACUAUCUACUCCUACCUACAGACAAUAGCAAUUAUAAUGCAAAAUAAUCACAGAUGCUGGCACGGUCCUCAAAGUAUUUCUCAUUACCUGGGGAAUGAAGUAUCUUCUAGGCCUCUUAAUGGAUAAUGGUGAAGAUGAAAUGAGAUGGUUGAAUGGUUGCAAUGAAACAUCCACUCCAUCAGUCCUAUUAUGUCCCUUAAUCUUCCAACUUCUUCCUCUAUAUUACACCACAAAUUUGUAGGCAUUCAACUUCAUUUAGUAUAGGCCAAUGCUGAGAUCAAUGAAAGGAGUAAUUACAACAUCUUCUAGUUGCUUGAGCUAGAAUCCUGACUAUAGAAUCUCUAGUAAUUGCAACAACAUGCCAAUACACUGAGCCAAAUGCAAAAGCAUGUUUCUCUCAUCAUCAGCAUCCAUUUCUAAACAUAUUACUGAAGCUUUGUGGUAUGUUAGCAAAAAUCUUUUUAUCAGAAUGUUAAUAUAUAAUCCUUUUCUUCCCAUUUUGACUAUGCAAAGGUAUAGCAUGCUAUAAUCUACUCCAGUUACGGAUCUGAAAACAAUGAGGAUUGUGGAAGGGGUAUAACAAAACUGGCUUCCCCUUAAAUGAUAACCAUCAUAAACUAGAUUGUUAAAGGUCCUCAAAUAACACACAGAAAGACAGCUUCUGCCAGCAUGAGAGACUUAAUGACAUUUGGAGACUUAACGUACUAUGUGUCCAUAAUUCCUCAUAUAAGGAAAAUUUAUUUGAAAGAUUAUUAGCAGCCAUAAAUCUGUCAUAUCUCCAAAUAAAGGGGGGGAAGAUAUUUACUACAUUGCUAUUUCAUCUCCAAAAUCUUCUUGAAAUAAUAUAAGAUUAUUCUAAUUGGCUAUUCUAUUAUGUAUUUAGUAUUAAUUGUUACAACUUCUACAUACUAAUAAAGGAGCAUUAUGUACUCAAAUUCAAGAGCAAUAGAAUUUAUGCCUCUAGAGGGCAGCAUUUCUCAUAGGAUACAUAAGUUUGACUUUAAAAAGGAAUUUAAUUGUCCAAAGAAUUUAAGAAAUGCAGGAUAAACAAAAUUUAUCAAGUUUCUUUCUUGUAAGUUGUCUCAAAGUCUCUAAUAUAUUAACAUAAAUCUUCAAAAAGUCAUCAUUAUGGUAUAUGGUGUUUCUCUGAACUUAUUAAUUGCAGAAAUCUUUAUUCAAUAGCCACCUCUAGUGACUACUUCUACAGAAAGCACUUUGGAAACAAUCUUGUAGACAAAUUCGCUCAAGACAAGUUUCACUUCCUUCUUUAUGCAUAAACUAACUCUUCUGACUUUUAAAAUAAGUUUCUAGAUGUCUCCCUAUUUUCACAAAUCAUGACUGAGAAUGGAAUAAAGACUGGCAACAGCAUUUUUGUGGAAAUCAAAAAGAAUAGCUUAGUGCUGGGCUUGCUCAAAGGACAAUGGGGGAAAAAAUUUAAGACUGGUGCUAAAAAAUUUUAAUUUAAUUUAAUUUAAUUUAAUUUAAAAUAAAUAAAAUAAAAUAAAUAAAAAAUAAUAAAAUAAUAAAAUAAA